GCCAGUUGGUGGGUGUUAUCCCCCAACUGCGCAGCUUCUCCAGCGCGGCCUCAGGAAAAACCAGUUUUGGAAGCACCACACCUUGGGUCAGAUGAUGCAACGUGAUAUUAGCGUCGGGUUGCAUCAGCGGUUCUGACGCAUGUGCCUUUUACGCCGACAGAAAGCAGUAUAAUGGGGCCGGAGAAAGAGACAUUCGCUGCCUGAAAGCCUUUUAAAGGCGCCCUCAGCGUUUCUAAUUGGCCACACAGGGUGUUGUCGGGAAGAUAAACGCCCAACCAGCCACCUCCCCCGACAAGCUCCGGCAUGCCGUUUCCUGAAACCGGGAUCUGACGGCACACUUAAGGCAGAAUUCUUUUCUGGUUGGUUUUAAUGUUUUAUACCAAAGCCUCAAGGUUUAAUCUUUUCAAUCUUUUCGAAUGCCCGGCCUAUUAAGAGGCUUUCAAACGGUGCUCCUAUGUGGUAUUGACCUGAAUAUCUCCAAAAUGCACCAGUUGAUGCUCAUCUUCGGAGUUGUUUUACAUAAGUGCUUCCGGCUCUCGGGGCACACAGACUUGUGACUUUAUCAAAUAACUUAGAUUUGGUUCUCUUGGAGUCUCUGUCUGUUUUCAGAGUGAAUCCCCACCCCCUGCUUCUCGAUAUAAUAAAGAAUGAACCGCAAAGACCCUAGAACGCUCUAGUCAACCAAGAAAGUUGAAGAAAAAAAAACUUUCACAGUAGUCAACUCCGGCACUUGAGAGAGGGAGGAAAGAGGAUCAAGUUCAAUGCCGGCUUGGGCUACAUGGUGGGUUCAGCCAUCCUGGGCUGCCUGAGACAAAACAAAACACUAAAGAAAACGAAAGAAACCUUUGGUAGAAGAAAAAGCGACACUGAGAUGCAAGCCUUCCCCUGGCACCAGCCAAGUCGAUCUUUGUCCAAUCGACAAUCCUGCACGUUGCUUGCCCGGUUCUACGAGCUGGCGCCUGUCGACUUCUCAGCCUUGCCAUUUUAAUCUCACCCCAGCACCUCUGGCCACUUCCUUUCCGGGGAACCCUGCACUAUUCUAUGGGGCUGGGAAAAUGCUUUUUCUGGCAGGUCGGAUUCUUUAAAUUGCUCAACUCAGCUUGCCCAGGAAACGCCUUCCUUGAUCCUGGAAUGGAGGCACGUCCCUCGUUGGCUGCUGCGUGAGCAAAGCAACUAUUUUCCAGCGAGUGUCCUCAGGUGACCUGUCUAGACGCUCAGAG